AUUGAACGCUGGCGGCAGGCUUAACACAUGCAAGUCGAGCGGAGAUGAGGUGCUUGCACCUUAUCUUAGCGGCGGACGGGUGAGUAAUGCUUAGGAAUCUGCCUAUUAGUGGGGGACAACAAUCCGAAAGGAAUGCUAAUACCGCACACGCCCUACGGGGGAAAGCAGGGGAUCUUCGGACCUUGCGCUAAUAGAUGAGCCUAAGUCGGAUUAGCUAGUUGGUGGGGUAAAGGCCUACCAAGGCGACGAUCUGUAGCGGGUCUGAGAGGAUGAUCCGCCACACUGGGACUGAGACACGGCCCAGACUCCUACGGGAGGCAGCAGUGGGGAAUAUUGGACAAUGGGCGGAAGCCUGAUCCAGCCAUGCCGCGUGUGUGAAGAAGGCCUUUUGGUUGUAAAGCACUUUAAGCGAGGAGGAGGCUACCUGGAUUAAUACUCUAGGAUAGUGGACGUUACUCGCAGAAUAAGCACCGGCUAACUCUGUGCCAGCCGCCGCAGUAAGAC
rnacentral:rRNA from 1 species